rnacentral:rRNA from 1 species
AGUGAACGCUGGCGGUAGGCCUAACACAUGCAAGUCGAACGGCAGCACAGAGGAGCUUGCUCCUUGGGUGGCGAGUGGCGGACGGGUGAGGAAUACAUCGGAAUCUACUCUGUCGUGGGGGAUAACGUAGGGAAACUUACGCUAAUACCGCAUACGACCUACGGGUGAAGGCAGGGGACCUUCGGGCCUGGCGCGAUUGAAUGAGCCGAUGUCGGAUUAGCUAGUUGGCGGGGUAAAGGCCCACCAAGGCGACGAUCCGUAGCUGGUCUGAGAGGAUGAUCAGCCACACUGGAACUGAGACACGGUCCAGACUCCUACGGGAGGCAGCAGUGGGGAAUAUUGGACAAUGGGCGCAAGCCUGAUCCAGCCAUACCGCGUGGGUGAAGAAGGCCUUCGGGUUGUAAAGCCCUUUUGUUGGGAAAGAAAUCCAGCUGGCUAAUACCCGGUUGGGGUGACGGUACCCAAAGAAUAAGCACCGGCUAACUUCGUGCCAGCCGCCGCUGUAA